CGGCUCUGUCCACGAGAGUUUUCCUCACUCCAGCAGUACUGAGCUGACCGCCUUCUUGUGCAGUUCCCACCCCUACUGCAAAACAAAAUCCCCCAACUUUCCUUCAGGGAAGAUUCUUUUUGUCCGACUUGAAGUACUUUUCCACUCAGGCUGUAAUUCCUGCUGGAGAAGAUGUGGACUCUCAUUAAUCUUUUCAUCUGAGCCUGGGACUUGAUUGUGGAAGAGCCAUGGAAAUCCUGCUUUUAAAAUAAAGGUAUGGCUAUUGGAGUUAGGCCAAUUGUGGUAACUACAGAGGGGUCUUCCUACUGCUCAACCACCUCUUCCUAGCGGCUGGAGAGCUGCUCUCUGUGUAUUCUUUCCAUCCUGGAGGCACGGUGGAUGUAAUCUUCACUGUGCAAUAAACUCCAUGAAAAAGGCAGGGAGCAAUGUGACCCACUAUACCUGUCGUUCAACCUCAUUAAAGCCUAUGACUUCAUCUUCAGGAGGGACUGUGGAACAUCCUCCAUAACUUCAGAUGCCCACAGAAAUUCAUCUCCAUGUUAUGUUUGCUUCAUUUUGGCACGCAAGUCACAAGUAGUAAACAACAGGUCGACAAGAGAAUGAAUCUCAUUGAAGACUACUGUCAAACAAGGCUGCUUCAUUGCUCCAGCCCAUAUCACAAUCUUUCGUGCCGCAAUGUUGCACCUCACCUCCUACAAACAUCCUGUGGGAGUGGAGCUAAGCUUCAGAACUAAUGGAAAUCUGUUCAUAGUGACUAUGCUCCAGAACCAAGGUCAAAUUGAGUUACAGUAUGCAGACAAUGUUUGUGUUUGAACAUGCCAAGUUCCAAGACGUUGUUGACUUGUUCAAUGAAGUACACAAGAGAAUGUGCCUUGCUCUCAACAUCCACAAGGCAAAGGUCCUCUCCCAACCUUCCCAUCCCCUGCACCACACUGACCUUCAGUGAUAAAGGUUCAUGCUGAAACUUUGAAAAAAUGUGGGCCACUUUCCAUUAUCUCAGGGGCCACCUCUUGGUGAAGAGAGACAUCAGUGUUGAUAUUUACCACCACCUUCAAUGUGCCAGCACAGCCUUUGAUCAAUUGAAGAGAAGGUUAUUUGAAGGUCAAGACCAGCGACCUGGCAGUGGUGAUCCCUUCCCACCUACAUGCAUCUGAGACCUGGGCUACUACAAUGGGUAUCUCAAUGCAUGAGAAAAAAACCACCAAUAUUGUCUCCACUAGAUCCUCCGAGUUCACCAAUGUCAGUGUCUUUUCCCAAAUGAAAAUCCCCUUUGGGGACGUAGUUAUUCUCAGACCGUGUGAGGCAGGCCAUGUCAUUUGCAUGCGUGACGCUAGACACCUAAAACCGACACUCUAUUCCAAGCCCUGACGUGGCUGAAGGUUACCAAGUGGAGAGAAGAAGAAAUCAAAUAUAUGAUCAUGGUUUCCCUAAAGGAGUGUAAUAUCCCCAUUGAUUGUUGGAAAGCCCUAGCCCUUGACCAUUUAAAGUGGAGAAGGAGCGUUUGGGAUGGUAUUGAGAACCUUGGGCCAAACAUUGAGAAUACAGAAGCCCUGGGUGAGCAGCGGAUGGAGUGUAUCAUCUUACAAGCUACCUACGCACCCACCCACCCACCGUGUCAACCACCUUCUGCCCCAUCACACCUCAGAACCUGGAAAACCAGAGUGGAAGCAAUCGCAAUCCUCCAUCCCAAGGGAAUGAUGAAGAAGAAGGCAAUUCUAAUAUGAAAAAAGUUGAAACCAUCAUGGUGGACAACUGCUGAAUGUACA